rnacentral:rRNA from 1 species
CCUACGGGAGGCAGCAGUGGGGGAUAUUGGACAAUGGGGGAAACGCUGAACCAGCGACGCCGCGUGAGUGAAGAAGUAUUUCGGUAUGUAAAGCUCUAUUAGCAGGGAAGAAAGAAAUGACGGUACCUGAGUAAGAAACCCCGGCUAAAUACGUGCCAGCAGCCGCGGUAAUACGUAGGGGGCAAGAGUAAUCCGGAAUUACUGGGUGUAAGGGGAGCGUGGAAGGUAAGGGAAGUCUGGAGUGAAGGGCCGGGGCCCAGCCCCCGGAGUGCUCUGGAUACUGUGUAACUGGAGUGCAGGGGAGGCAGGCGGAAUGCCUAGUGUAGCGGUGAAAUGCUUAGAUAUUAGGAGGAACACCAGUGGCGAAGGCGUCCUGCUGGACUGUAACUGACGUUGAGGCUCGAAAGCGUGGGGAGCAAACAGGAUUAGAUACCCCGGUAGUC